AAUCACAAGAUGCCAUCUGGUAUACUAUAAAUACUUUCCAUUGCACAAGGAUGGCUAUAACAGAGUUAUAAAUAAGUAACUUCGUGGCAAUCUUCAUUAUAGAAACUUUUCUUAGCUAGUUCUCAGGCUAGAAAUUGACAAUUCUUUAAAGUAACAUAUUCAUUUCUUACUGGUGGCUUAGUAUAAGGUGUUAAGGCUUAAGUGAUAGAUAUAAAAAAUGGUGGCAAUGCGAAUAUUUUUACUUUUCUAUUUAUCCAUGGUUUUGCAUAGAAAAGGUAUUGCCAGAGCGACGGUUACAGUGAAAGAAAUUGCAGCUGGUCAUUUAGCUGAACUUCCAUGUUUAAGCAGCGACGAUCAGCAUCGAUUCAUGUUUUGGCAACUUACCGAUGAUAGACACGUAAUUGGUCCUGGAAAUCCUUUAGAUGUAAAUAAGUACAACUAUGAAGUGUUAACGGGCACACUUUACAUUAGGGGGGUGUCGACUGCUGAAUCUGGUUUUUAUAAAUGUAUUUCAAGAGGUAUACACGACCAUUCUGCUGUUAAUGUUCAUAUCGUUGAAUUGAUAGUUAAGAAAAAUUGGGAAGAGGUUUGGGAAAAUGAUUUUGAGGCAAAUUUGCUAAGAGGAAUGACUGCUACGAUGGUAGUAGUUGUAGCUGUGGCUGUUGUCCUUCUUAUUAUAAUUGUCAAACGGAAGAGGAGUCAUGGAUUCUUUGAUUUGGAUGAAUCAAGAGAAAAUUCACCAGCAACAUUUAGAGGAAACAUUGUAAAUACAUCUGCCAUGCCUACGCAAGAAGUUGAUAAUGGCGGAAUCGAAAAUCCUCUCGAUAUUGAUUUUCCCAAAGUAUUCAAUCAAAUGCAAAAAGAUCAAGGAUUACCAUAACGAUUUAUGGAACCUAAUUAUUCUUAAAUCUUAGAAGCUUUCAUACAGAAAGAAAGCAGAAGAGAAGCGUAAAACCAUCUCAUAUAUACCUUGAAAAGCUCUUGGCCAUAUGGCACCCAUAACAUCGGUUAAACAUAACGAAGACUGGCUUUGAUGAUCUAACAAUUUCACAUGACUCGAUGGUAACUGUAGAAGAGUCGAUGAAUAAUUCUGUUUGUUCAAUAAAAGAAGACUAAGAUAAUCUUGCGAAUAAAACUGUAAAUCGGCUAUCGCAUUGUCGACAGAACUUUUCGAAAAGGAUCCUAAGAAAAAAAGAAAUAUAUCGUCAAGUUAACGUUAACUCGAAACAUAUUUUAAUUGAAAAUA